rnacentral:misc_RNA from 1 species
AAGUCGUAACAAGGUUUCCGUAGGUGAACCUGCGGAAGGAUCAUUAUCGUGAGGCUUUGGCCCUUACUCGAGAUAGAAUCCCUUGCCUUUAGUAGUACCUUCUGUUGCCCUCGGCAAUGCGUAAUAGCACAGCCAAUGGGGCCAAAAUAACCUUUGUAUUAUAGUCAUUAGUCUGAAAACAACAAAAUUAAA